UACGUAGGGGGCAAGCGUUAUCCGGAUUUACUGGGUGUAAAGGGAGCGCAGACGGCAGUGCAAGUCUGGAGUGAAAGCCCGGGGCCCAACACCGGGACUGCUCUGGAAACUGUACGGCUAGAGUACGGGAGGGGCAGGCGGAAUUCCUAGUGUAGCGGUGAAAUGCGUAGAUAUUAGGAGGAACACCGGCGGCGAAGGCGGCCUGCUGGACCGAAACUGACGUUGAGGCUCGAAAGCGUGGGGAGCAAACAGG
rnacentral:rRNA from 1 species